GCGCGGAGCCGCGCGGAGUGACAAAGCCGCCGCUGCCGCCGCCGGGGGUGGGAGCCGCGCUCGCCCGCCCGCCCCUCGACUCGCGAGGGCGUAAAAGUUUGUCUCAGCUCGAGCAUUCCUAGCGCCAACACGCCCUCAGGUAAAGGUGGAAGUAAAUGGCCACGCUGUAUUGACAGAGACAGGGACUGAGAAACGGAAAUACUACCAUCCUCCAGCCAAUCUGUUGGGAGGACUGCUUGCAGAGGACUCGUGCUCCAGAUGUUGCACUAGAGGCGCUGCAAGUGUGAGCAGCAGGUAGAUGAAACUCAAGAGAAAAGGUGUGGAUAAAUGAAACUAGCCCAUGAUGAACCUGUUUUCUCCGUGACCACAAUAUUAACCAGGAUGAAUGGCGGUGGCAGUGGGCCUGCAUCACAGGUUGCAGCAGAUGUUCUCAAUAUUUCUAUUAAAAUUUCCUUAUUUCCAUAUGCAAGAGGAGCCCCAGAGCUGCAUCCUUAUGGUAGCUACCAUGCCGUGAUGUAAGCUGCCAUUCACUGGGGAGCUUUGGCAAUAGAAUUGGCUAGAUCAGGAAGCCUAUGUCAACUAUGGAACAACAACUUGCAGCUCAUCUCUAUUGAUGAUACACUGCCUCUAGGACUGGGACAGAUAGCCACUGAGUACCUGCUUCAAAUCACCCUGCACGUUUUCUCUUUGGAAAGAUAAGCACUGGAGAACCAUCUCGUUACCUUCAGCAGAAAUGGAAACAAAUCAAGACAUUAAGAAUGCCGCAGUGGACAGCAGUUAUGCAAGGUUCAGCAGAGGAAGUUUUCAAGAUGGUGUGCCUCACUAGCCAGAAAUCAGAAAAGAUCGAAGCUAGCCUUUUCAUCUCAGCUGCUCCUUAAAUCAGUGCAACCCCUCCAAAUUAAUGUGAAUUGAAACUUGCAUUGCUUUUCAACUUAAUUGAAUACUUACUAUAUGUGAACCACUGCACAAAAUAGGGGAAGAAGAUGUGGGAGACAAAGAUGUGGAGCCUGUCUUCAAUAAAUUUACAGUUAGUUUCAGGGUACAUUGUUUUUCUUCUGCUGUUAAUUAGGUGUAUCCCCAAGACAAUAAAUACAUGAAUGGAAAAGUAUAUUCUGUGUUUUAAGUCUCUUUAAUAAAAAACAAAACAAAAUCCAAAAAAACUCCUAACAUGGCAACUCAGGACAUUUUAAUCCUUUUUUUUGUUGUUGGGCUUCUGAUAGGAUCCAUUUUAUUGAUUCCAUAAAUAUUUAGUAGACUUUAGACAUAUUAAUACAUUGUAGUUUGAGUUAAUUUGCAUUAAAUUCUGUUUUUUUCCCCUUAGGUAUAGAUUGUCUGUUGGAAAAAUAUAUUGCUUGUGGAUUUCUUGGGGAGUGGGAAGGUGAAUUAUACCUGUUGUCUCUACAGUCCACUACCUUCCACACCCUAGGGCAGUGGUCCCCAACCUUCUUGGCACCAGGGAUCAGUUUCCUGGAAGACAAUUUUUCUGUGGAUGGUGUGGGGAUGGUUUUGGGAUGGAACUGUUCCACCUCAGAUCAUCAGGCAUUAGUUAGGCUCUCAUAACGAGUGCGCAGCCUAGAUCCCUCACAUGCACAGUUCACAGUAGGGUUUGCGCUGCUAUGAGAAUCUAAGGCUGCCACUGAUCUGACAGGAGGCAGAACUCAGGUGGCAAUGCUUACUGGCCCACUGCUCACCUCUUGCUGUGCGGCCUGGUUCCUAAUAGGCCAUGGACCCCCACAGACGGGUACUAGUCUGCAGCCUGUGGACCCCAGCCCUAGGGGCCUGCCAUUCUGAGUGAGUUAUUAGCAUGAAGAAGAGGAAGAUCUGGAUCAAACGUGGGUGAUGGUACUCAGAGACCCAAGAUAGGAUAGGGAUGGAACAAAAUCCAUCUGGGCAACGGCUCUAUGAAAAUUUGGCUAAGUAAUUAUUUCAGUAUUCAUUGUAUUCAUUGUCCUUCGUGUUCCAUAAGUUAAAUGACUGUCUAAUUUUUCCAAAAAUUUAUUUCUGACUUGAGAAUAAGUGUGUCAUGAUUUUCCCAGUGUAAAGACACUGAUAUAACUGUAGAUACCAGACAUUUUAUGUAGUGUCUAUGACACAUUUUAGUAUGUAUGAGCCAACAAUAGACAUGUCUUUGUCUUGAGGAGUGUCCAUCUGAAUUGAAAAUGUGUCAGCUUUUUUUUAACAUCAUCAACAGACUUCUUAAUUAAGCUGCCAAUACAUACUGCCAAUAGCACUGUGUGCUGUCUGAGAAAUGCAUUGUGUAAGUGCUAUUUCCAUCUUAUUAAAUAAACAAUGUUGCUCUGUAUAAACUGGAUUUAAAGUGUUCUUUGAAUGAGGCAUUAUAUUGCUCCAUAAAUAAUGUGAUGUGAAUUCUCAUAUGAUCCCUUUUAACUUAAUUUCUAAAAAAAUAUUAUUUGCUCCUCAGUAAGGAAUAGCUCUAAUUGGACUGGUAACUUUAGUGAUAUGAUUUGUCUGUAACAGGCUGAAUCGCCCCACUCCCAAACUCCUGGUCGUGAUACUGGAUAUUUGUUAUGCCACUUUUAGUUUGCAUGAGGUAUCUUCCAGGAAGUAUUAGUUAUUAACUUGUGUUCUACUAAACUGUAGAUAUUUAUUUCCUGUUCUGGAAGAUUUCUUGGAGUGUCCAUCUGUGCAUUCCUGGUGCCUAGUGUAGUCUUGCUAAUGGAAUAGCACCUUUAUUGGUGCUACUUAGGGGUUGGUAGCUUACAAUCAAUCUACUUGGAACGUAUCCAAAUAAACUGGAUAUUUUUAUAC
rnacentral:lncRNA from 1 species